CCUACGGGGUGCACCAGGCGCGAAACCUUUACAAUGUGCGAAAGCACGAUAAGGGGAUCCCAAGUGCCAGCGUACUGCGCUGGCUGUUUUCUAGCCUAAAAAGCUAGAGGUAGUAAGGACCGGGCAAGACCGGUGCCAGCCGCCGCGGUAACACCGGCGGUCCAAGUGGUGGCCAGUUUUAUUGGGCCUAAAGCGUCCGUAGCCGGCUAGGGAAGUCCCUUGGGAAAUCUGGUGGCUUAACCAUCAGGCGACUGAGGGAAACUACCUGGCUUGGGACCGGGAGAGGCCCCGGGUACCCCAGGGGUAGGGGUGAAAUCCUGUAAUCCCUGGGGGACCACCUGUGGCUAAAGCUCGGGGCUAGAACGGGUCCGACGGUGAGGGACGAAAGCCAGGGGCACAAACCGGAUUAGAUACCCGAGUAGUC
rnacentral:rRNA from 1 species